GUACACUUAGGCAGCACAUAUACUAAAACUGAAACAAUACAGAGAUUAGAAUGGUCCCUGGACAAAGAUGACAUGAAAAUCUAUGAAACAGACCAUAUUUUU